CAUUACAGUCUAUCUGGAAGUAUUACGUUUUUGGGGAACUAAAAUAAGGGCAAUUGUAGGGACCAAGGCGAAGUACGAGUUUACGUUAGUCAGUUAACGUUAUUUCUGGUUUUGUAGGUAAAGCAAGGCAGGCUAGCUAACGUUAGCUAGCUAGCUGUUAGCCUACAACUCGGAUUUGCAAGUUUGUUCGUAUGUCAUAAAAGUGUAUUGUCUUGGGCAAAACUAAAUAAUGGAUGCAGCUAUGGUGGUAGCUAACUCACGUCUGAGUCUGACUAAUACAGUGAAGUAGGAGCAACAAACCAUAACGGCGUCUAGAGAUGCAGUUGGUCUACAUCUGUAAAGCAUAGAAUUAGCUUGACCCGCGUUACUACCCUGAUGACACAGACGUCUUCAUCAACAACAGUAAUGUGUGUUAUGUAAAAAGUUGUAUAAAAAAUACCUGGUUUCAUAAACUAGUAGGUUAAUUACCCAGCCAAGCAGAUUCAAGUAGUAGAGUCAUUUUGGUUGAGAAGUGCAUUAUCAAAACGCCUCGUCCAUUCUUUAUAACAAAAUGCAAUUUACCACUUGGCUGUCUAUUGUAUCAUCCUGUCACAAGCUCUUUCAGUCAACAACACCUAAUGAGGAAUUACAUUGUUUAUGAGGAUUGCCUGCUGCAGUUGUUCGAGAGAUGUCUUGUUUGUAGCUGAACAUUCAACAUAGAGAAGACCAGCAAGGGGACCCUCAGCAUCACACAGACAUGCCCUCGCUGUGAGCAUUCCUAUAAAUGGAACAGGGAGGACACUUGAAUCAGAACCAUGACUGUAUGUGUUCACAAUACGUUUAUGGAGCCUGCACCUGGAGACUUGCAAGAUGAUGUGAUGGAAUCCUGACCGACAGACAGGCUUGAUACUGACUUCGCUGAAUGGAGAGACACCUGGCACUCAACACAUCCACAAUGUGGUUCUGAAGAUGAAGAGUACUAAAGAUGCUUUUGCCAGACGCCAGCCUCGGUCGUUUGAUAGAGGGACCAUAAUUGGAAACAUGUAUAGAGACAGCACAUGGAAACUUGCAAGAUGUGAUGAAGUCCAGACUGACAGACGGGCUUAAUACUGAUGCCUCCAAAUGGAGAGAGACCUGACACGGCAUUAAAGUUUUACUACACACAACUUGUACUUCUAUUGUUUUUAAAAAUGAUUUAAUAGAAUGGUAUCAGUCAAUAUGGGGAGGGAGAAACCUUGUGUAUUCUGCACCAGGAUCAGGGAACUCCGGUUGUAUACUGAACACCACACAGGAAGAUAUGACAACUCUGACAUGUUUGCCAAGGUAACCCAUUCACCACCAGACAAAAUGCCAAUAGGCACAGUAUCUGUAUCGGCUGGGAAUGACAAUGGAAGCUGAAAGCUGCACAUUGUUAUAUUAGCAGAACUAUGGUAUUAGGGAAUGGGUUGUUUAUUCUACAUGGAUCUGUUACUACAUUUGAAAGUUAUCAAAACUCUUAGCUUAGAAUAUCUACAUAAUUCAGCAAUUGCAUUCUCAUAUUACUCCGUAGGCUACUGACCUAUUCAAAGCUUCCUCUGGCAUCUCACCAUACAUCUGCCUGGAGUUAUUGAACUCAACCUGCAAGAGGGUUGUUUGAUGGAUGCUACCAUGACUACAGAUAAUCCUGAAUAAAUUGUGAAUAACGAUGAGUGAGAAAGUAACAGACGCACAAGUAUCAUACUUCCAAGACAUGCUGACAUCUCACCAUUACAAUAACAGCGGAGGUUAGCAUUUUUGGGGGGUAUGACAUUUGUGCGUCUGUAACGUUCCCAGCUGGCAAUGAGGAAUCGGCCCAGGAGCGGUCCUCUUCCGGGGAACCGGAACUGAUUGGAUUGGCUCGGAACAGCGUGAUGGGACAAGGACAUCCCAAACCCCCAUAACUCGGACGACGCUGGGCCAAUUGUGCAUCGCCUCAUGGGUCUCCCGGUCGCGGCCGGCAUGGGUAUCGAACUAGCAUCUGUAGCAACGCAAUUUGCAAUGCAGUGCUGUGUCUUAGACCGCUGCGCCACUCAUAUUAAAAUUCUACUUAAACAGGACUCUUAACACAAAAUGUUAAUUGUAUUUUUUGAUCACAGAAACAAUAGUUAAAUAAAAAACAGAAAAUAUGGAAUAAAUAAAUGUUAAAUAAAGCAGCCGUGUAAUGAUCUGCAUUUGGAUAACUCACACCGGAAUCAGUCCGAGCUCAAUCCCCGCAUAAGUAAUACCAGCCAUAAGUAAUACUGCCUAAGGUGGCCCAGAUCCACUGUGCUAGCUGGGUUCUCACUCAUCAUUAUUCAUAGUACAUUCAGGAUUUUCCAUAAUCAUGGUAACAUCCACAUUAAUGUGUAAGUGUUUAGAAGCAUAUUCUGUUCUUAUUUACAAUAAAAGUGACCCCAAAAUGACUACAUUAUUUAGUGUUCAUUUCUGUUGGGCACAAGAUAAUCUGAAACACAACCAAAACAAACAGUAAAUGCAUCCAACAAAUUUGCAGAGGCACAAGCUUGAUGUAGUCAUUGCAUGCUAUGAAUAUGGGACCAAAU